CCCCUUCUCUUCCUCCCUCUCUCUCUCCCUUCCCUAAUCCUCUCACUCUCUCUUCCCCAAUCCUCUCUCUCUCUCUCUCUCUCUCUCUCUCUCUCUCUCUCUCUCCGUGGCCAUAUCUCCAAAUUUGUUUAAAGCGGCGGCAGGGAAGACGAACGGUAGUUCUUCUGUCCUGUCUCCCGCCUGUCGGAUCCCUCACUCUCCUCUCCGAUUCUUGGGAUUUCCACACCAAUCGAAUCCUCCCUAUAUGGUAAGCGCUCAGCUUCAGCUACACCGUUAUGCAACCGGCCGUGAAUCAAGGGUCAUUACUGCUCUUACCUUUUUGAAAUCUCAUCUUUUUACUUACCAAGGUUAUGUUAGUGCUGCUUUGGUGCUUGGCGGUGUUAAUUUUACUGGACCGCAUUUGCACUAUAUACCCUCACGGUUCAACUGACACACUGCCAUUUGCAACCAUAGGUUCUGGUUCUCUUGCUACGAUGGCCAUCUUUGAGUCAAAAUAUAGAGAGGGCCUGACUAUAAGUUUGCUUGCUAGAUUUGCAUUUUUCUCCUCAGUCAAUGUUUUGCAUCAUCAUUGUUAUGUUGUCAUUGAGAAAGAACAUAGAAGGCUGUGCCAAAGAGGUAGGGCUUGCAUGGAUGCUUUUCCAGAAUAGAGCAGCUUGUAGCUGCUGAGAUCCUUUUAAGAAAGAGUGACACAUCCUCAUGAACCAAGCUAGCCUUUCGAGAAGGAUAGCAAACAGGAGUCUCAGACUAAAUUAGACCAUUUAACAUGAUUUCAUGAGAGACGAAGGAAUAAAGCUUGUGUCUGAGGCGAUUUGCUCUGGAAUUUUCAAUGACUUGGGAAGUGGUAGCAAUGUUGACGUCUGCGUAAUAACCAAGGUCUGUACUUGAUGAAACAUUAUAUUGUUAUUGGUGUUUCCAUGGACCUUUAGUUAUUCUUGUCAAAUCUUGAUGUACAAGGCCGCACUGAGUACUUGAGGUAACCACCAGUUGCCAAAUCCUUGAAACUAUGUCAGUUCAAGGGGCUAUUCCUUUACUAAGGGACAGACUGGUUAAAGUUAUGAAGGAGAGUGCAGCACCUAGAGCAGUGUAUGUACCCACUGCCACUCUCCGAAUGGCACCUGCAAGCAUAGAGCAGCAAUCGCUUGCGCCAGCAGCCCCACAUUCAGCACUUGAGACCCCAACUCCUAGUGACAGAAAUGCCCCUGAAAGCAGCAAUAUUCACAAGGAAGGUGACUUUGUUUUUCAUUUUGUUACUGACCAAUCAGCCCACGAGCAAUGCUGAAUUCAGCUUAGGUACGAUCAUAUAUGUGUGUGUCAUGUGGUUUACUUAAUAUCUACUUCACUCACUUGUCACUAUACUAGUCACCUCGCCUCUUCUUCUCCUUCUUUCUAAACUGAACAUGGGCAAAUUCAGUUUGCAGCAAUGGUGAAAGCAAUUAGGAUUUGAAGCUUGGAUUAGUUCAUGAAAAUCCUCUUCAUCAAA